AUGCCAGCCAAGGCCCCAAUUUACCUGAAAGCAGCCAAUAACAAGAAAGGAAAGAAAUUUAAACUGAGACAUUCUGUCUCCCGAUAUCAUCAGUCCCCCUCUUGGAGGCUUUUGCCAUACCAUCCAAAUCGGCAAAGAGGGCCAAGCAUGACGUCUUUGGAGAUAUUUCCUUUCUUCAAGGGAACAAUGAGCUUUUACCUGGAAACUAGGAGAAAGCACACCUGGGUCAGCUCCCCGGGCAUAGUAAGUUCUUCCGGGCCAACAGCACCUCAGACUCUGUGUUCACAGAAACACCCUCCUCAGUGGUCAAAAAUACCAUCUCCCUCACGAUCACUGGAGGGUCCCAAGCUCUCAUGUUGCUCUUAUUGUCACCGGUGAACUUUAAUUCCAAACAGGAGUCCUUUCGGCCAGCAAAGUUGCCAAGGCUUAGCUGCGAGCCCGUCAUGGAGGAAAAAGGUCAGGAGAAAAGCAGUCUGUUGGAGAACGGGACAGUCCACCAGGGAGACACCUCAUGGGGCUCCAGCGGUUCCGCAUCUCAGUCCAGACAGGGCAGGGACAGCCACUCCUCCAACCUGUCCGAACAGUACCCCGAAUGGCCAGCCGAAGACAUGUUUCACCAUCCCGCGUCAUGCAAGCUCAUCAAGGGAAAGACUAAGUCAGAGGAGUCCCUCUCUGAUCUUACAGGUUCCCUCCUCCCCCUGCAGCUUGAUAUUGGGCCCUCACUUUUGGAUGAGGGGCUGAAUGUCACGGAAAAAAAUAAGUAA
rnacentral:lncRNA from 1 species